UGGGGAAUUUUGGACAAUGGGCGAAAGCCUGAUCCAGCCAUGCCGCGUGAGUGAAGAAGGCCUUCGGGUUGUAAAGCUCUUUCAGGUGGAAAGAAAACGCAUAGGUUAAUACCUUGUGCGGAUGACGGUACCAUCAGAAGAAGCACCGGCUAACUACGUGCCAGCAGCCGCGGUAAUACGUAGGGUGCGAGCGUUAAUCGGAAUUACUGGGCGUAAGGCGUGCGCAGGCGGUUAUAUAAGACAGAUGUGAAAUCCCCGGGCUCAACCUGGGACCUGCAUUUGUGACUGUAUAGCUAGAGUACGGUAGAGGGGGAUGGAAUUCCGCGUGUAGCAGUGAAAUGCGUAGAUAUGCGGAGGAACACCGAUGGCGAAGGCGACAUACUGGCUCAUUACUGACGCUGAGGCUCGAAAGCGUGGGGAGCAAACA
rnacentral:rRNA from 1 species